rnacentral:rRNA from 1 species
GACGAACUGUGCAAACGUUAUUCGGAAUCACUGGGCUUGAAGAGUGCGUAGGCGGUUUCGUAAGUAGGGUGUGAAAGCCCCCGGCUCAACCGGGGAAUUGCGUCCUAAACUGCGAGGCUGGAGUGAGGUAGGGGUGUGCGGAACUUCCGGUGGAGCGGUGAAAUGUGUUGAUAUCGGAAGGAACGCCGGUGGCGAAAGCGGCACACUGGACCUUGUCUGACGCUGAGGCACGAAAGCCAGGGGAGCAAACGGG